rnacentral:sRNA from 2 species
UUGCGUUAGGGAUUGCAGCGGUAUCCUUUUUUGGGAAUGCAACGAAGUGGAAUUCCUAAAAAAGAUUUAGCGAAAAGCCCGACACAAA